UACGUAGGCAGCGAGCGUUGUUCGGAAUUACUGGGCGUAAAGAGUGUGUAGGCGGUGCUCCCAGUCUGUUGUGAAAUCUCCCGGCUUAACUGGGAGGGUGCAGCGGAAACUAGAGUGCUAGAGGGUGGGAGAGGUAAGCGGAAUUCCUGGUGUAGCGGUGAAAUGCGUAGAUAUCAGGAGGAACACCGGUGGUGUAAACGGCUUUCUGGACCAUAACUGACACUGAGGCACGAAAGCGUGGGUAGCAAACAGG
rnacentral:rRNA from 1 species